UUCGUUGCACCUGGUAAUGAGCUUUUUCACAGGCCUGGUCUAUUUAGUGGAGAUGACGGCGCUGUUGGACGGUAUGCGCUGGUGCGGCUGGAUGGGUUGUGGAGCCGAGGAUUAGGAGAGAGGAACGUCGGUGUUGACUGUCGAAACAAAUUUAAGGCCUGGUCUAUUUAGUGGAGAUGACAGCGCUGUUGGACGGUCUGUGCUGGUGUGGCUGGUUGGCUUGUGGAGCAGAGGUCAAUGAGGAGAGGAACGUCAGUGCUGACUGUCGAUGAAACAAAUUUAAGAACUGCUUCAAAUGUGUAUGUGGGAAAAGUGGCUCAGAUUGCAUCACUGUCCGUGUUUUAUGUGUUGUGUGCUACAUCAAACCAGCAUUUGGAAAUGUGGCGCAUUUCCGCUGUUUAUUCUUGUGUUGAUGAAUGUGCACUGUUCCAAUAAAAUCUUCACACUCGGUAUGCUAACCUCCUCACCAACCCUUAACAGUAAACUAUAACCCUAACCCUGUACCCUCACUCCUAACCAAAACCCUCAAAUCACCUACCCUGAACGCUAACCUCCAUAAUCCUUAAGCUAAUGUUAAAUCUUAACCUUUAAUUCUCCCCUUAACCUGACAUAUUGUGUACCUUAACCCAAUUCAUCCGUAAGACUCUAAAUCCGCAACCCCUAAAUCCUAAAAUUAAACUUGAACCCUAACCCUCAUCCAUACUGCAGGCAUGUCCAGCCCUAGGCCUGGAGGGCCACUGUCCUGCCAGUUGUCCAUUCCCGGCUGCAACACACCUGAUUCAGAUGAUCAGCUCAUCAGCCAUCUCUGAAGCAGCAUUGGAACGAUCCUGAUUAUUUGAAUCGGGUGUGUUGCUCCUGGCGAAGUUGGAAAACAGGACAAGCAUCCCUUGAGGACUGAGUUUGGAGACCCCUGCCUUUUACCCUAAUCUCCCUCACUCAAACCCUAAUUCCCUAAUGCAAACACCUGUCCAUGUACUGUAGCUGCUAAACAAUGAUCCCCACACCUCUUAACCUAACUAUAAACACUAACCCUCUAAUCCUAACUAAACUAACAUUAACCCCAAACCUUGACCCACAAAAUGCUAGCCCCUAAUUCUAACCCGAUUUGACAAUGCAGC